UUGUGUUAGACAUGAGUGUCGACACAUUCAUACAUACUCAUUAGCAAUAAUUAAACAUGUAGAAAAUAUUUUACAACGAGUACCUACGAUGAAAGUAGUCUAUUAUUCUAAAGUAAUUACACACAUGCAUGUACAAGUACAUAAUUUGAUGUCACUAUUAAAAAAACAUAUUUGCCGCCAACAAUUUGAUUGCUGAAGAUAUGGCGCCACAAAAGUCUGCAGAGCAGUGUAAAAUAUUCCUUGCUUUCAUGGAAAGUCAUCCGGAUAUUGCGAAAUGAUUUUGCAAAGGGGAUAAGGUGAUUAACCUUAACCACAAUUGUGGUGUGAAUUGGCAAAUCUCCUUAAUUCGAAUGGACUUCCUACUAGAGAUGUUGCGAUCUGGAAGAAGACUUGGUGCGAUUGGAGGCGGAGUAUCAAAACCAUAUUGGGAGAAAACAAAACUUCCCUCAAAAAAACAGGUGGAGGAGAUUUCCAGCAACACUACAUUUCACCAAUAGAGGAGCAGUUAGCUAUAGUUUGUGAUAUAUUUCAUGUGGUCGAUGGAAUACCAAAGGCAAAAUCUUAUGCAGGGAAAAACAAAUGUAAGAAAUCCGACUACGACCAAGAAAUCGCACAAGAAGAGCCGACGGCAUCCACUUCAAAUCCAACUUCACCAACUCUUCUAUCGUUUGAAACACCAGAAAAAAACGUGUUAACGGUGAAAUACAAGACUUAAUGGGUGAAGAAAAAAAGAAUUUUCAGCUGGUUGCUGAAAAAUUAAGUGAACUUGGCGGUACCACAAAAGAUAACAGCAUGUACCUAAAAAGUUUAAGUAAAAGCAUCGAUGAAAUGCGUUCUCUGAAAAGGAAAGAGUUAGAGGAAAUGAAGAGGCAUCAUUUGCAAAUGGAAAAGAUUGCAAUGAGUCGCAUCGAAACAAAAUUGGAAUUUUUAAAACUAGAAAAAAUGAAACUGGGUAUCCCAGAAGACUAGCUCUGAUCUCUUAAAUGCAUUUUUUUAAAUUUUACUAAAAGUGAAU